rnacentral:rRNA from 1 species
GGUUAAGCGACUAAGCGUACACGGUGGAUGCCCUGGCAGUCAGAGGCGAUGAAGGGCGUGCUAAUCUGCGAUAAGCGCCGGUAAGGUGAUAUGAACCGUUAUAACCGGCGAUACCCGAAUGGGGAAACCCAGUGUGACUCGUCACACUAUCAUUAACUGAAUCCAUAGGUUAAUGAGGCGAACCGGGGGAACUGAAACAUCUAAGUACCCCGAGGAAAAGAAAUCAACCGAGAUUCCCCCAGUAGCGGCGAGCGAACGGGGAGGAGCCCAGAGCCUGAAUCAGCAUGUGUGUUAGUGGAAGCGUCUGGAAAGGCGCGCGAUACAGGGUGACAGCCCCGUACACAAAAGCGCAUGUGCUGUGAGCUCGAUGAGUAGGGCGGGACACGUGGUAUCCUGUCUGAAUAUGGGGGGACCAUCCUCCAAGGCUAAAUACUCCUGACUGACCGAUAGUGAACCAGUACCGUGAGGGAAAGGCGAAAAGAACCCCGGCGAGGGGAGUGAAAAAGAACCUGAAACCGUGUACGUACAAGCAGUGGGAGCCCCACCACCAAAGCAUUCUCUGGUGUUGAAGGCCCUGCAAAGCAGCAUCGCGGUGGCGGAGCGUCGUUUGCGACGCCCAACACACAAAACAAGCGGUGAGUGCUUUGGGGUGGGGUGACUGCGUACCUUUUGUAUAAUGGGUCAGCGACUUAUAUUCUGUAGCAAGGUUAACCGAAUAGGGGAGCCGGAGGGAAACCGAGUCUUAAUUGGGCGUUAAGUUGCAGGGUAUAGACCCGAAACCCGGUGAUCUAGCCAUGGGCAGGUUGAAGGUUGGGUAACGACUAACUGGAGGACCGAACCGACUAAUGUUGAAAAAUUAAGCGGAUGACCUGUGGCUGGGGGUGAAAGGCCAAUCAAACCGGGAGAUAGCUGGUUCUCCCGAAAGCUAUUUAGGUAGCGCCUCGUGAA